CCCUGAAAAUGGAUGGCGCUAAAGCGGGCGGCCGACACCACGCCGUCCGAAUUAAUUCAAAAAAAUCGGAUGAGUAGGAGGGCGUGGCGGUGGUGUGGAAGCUUGCGUGCAAACGCGGGUGGAACCGCCGCUAGUGCAGAUCUUGGUGGUAGUAGCAAGUAUUCAAGCGAGAUCCUUGAAGGGCGAAGCGGGGAAGGGUUCCACGCGAACAUUGAUUGGGCGUGGGUGAGUCGUCCCUAAGCCGGGUGGCAAUUGCUAACUAUUCGGCGAAAGGGAAGCGGGUUGACAUUCCCGCACACGGAUGUGGACGCGGUGACGCGUGUUUGGGGCGAAGACGCUGGCGACGGCGCUGGGCAGAGUUGUCUUUUCUGUUUGACCGCGUACUGCGCGCUGUGUGGAAUCCGGUUGUCGGGAGAAACACGCGCGUCGGGGCAGAGCGCCGGGGCUUUUCCGGCGUCCAGCUCGCCGUCGACGGCCCUUGAAAAUUCGUCUGCUGAUUUUUUGUUAAUCAAAUUAAACUCCACGCCGUGGCGUACCGAUCACCGCAUCAGGUCCCCAAGGUGAACAGCCUCUGCUCAAUAUGAACAAUGCAGGUAAGGGAAGUCGGCAAAUUGGACCCGUAACUUUGGAAUAAGGGUUGGCUCUAGUGCUGCGUGGGAGAGGUUGCUGAGUGUUUUCGGGUAGGUGUACGAGGCGGCAAAGGCGCGGGGCCCCCUCCCCUUGUCUUUGAUUUCUGAUAUUUUUUGGUCGGUUGCAGGGAGAGGGGUGGUCUUUUAUUCUUUAGCUUUCGGGCGAAGGGAACAAGGGGCCGCUUUUUUUUUUUUUGUUAAUUUGGCUGGGGAUUGAAGAUUUUCGGGAUUUGGGUGCCGGGGGGACCUGUUCCUGCUGCAGCGCACGUCCUGUCCGCUCUCGGCGACGCCCACAGCAUGCAGCAGACUAGAACUGCAACGGGCAAAGGGAAUCCGACUGUUUAAUUAAAACAAAGCAUUGCAGGGGCCGUGGCC
rnacentral:rRNA from 1 species